ACGGAGAGUUUGAUCCUGGCUCAGGAUGAACGCUGGCGGCGUGCCUAACACAUGCAAGUCGAACGAUUAACCCACCUUCGGGUGGUUAUAGAGUGGCGAACGGGUGAGUAACACGUGACUAACCAACCCUGCACUUUGGGACAACCUGUCGAAAGACAGGCUAAUACCGAAUAUUCUCUUUAUCUCGCAUGAGAUUUAGAGGAAAGCUCAGGCGGUGCAGGACGGAGUCGCGGUCCAUUAGGUAGUUGGUGAGGUAACGGCCCACCAAGCCGAUGAUGGAUAGCCGGACUGAGAGGUUGAUCGGCCACAUUGGGACUGAGAUACGGCCCAGACUCCUACGGGAGGCAGCAGUGGGGAAUAUUGCGCAAUGGGGGAAACCCUGACGCAGCAACGCCGUGUGCAGGACGAAGGCUUUCGGGUUGUAAACUGCUUUCAGUAGGGAAGAUUCAGACGGUACCUACAGAAGAAGCCCCGGCUAAAUACGUGCCAGCAGCCGCGGUAAUACGUAUGGGGCAAGCGUUAUCCGGAUUCAUUGGGCGUAAAGCGCGCGCAGGCGGGCUGUUAAGCGAAGCCUCUAAUCCCAGGGCUCAACCCUGGACCGGGCCUCGAACUGGCAGCCUCGAGUGAGGUAGAGGUAGAUGGAAUUCCCGGUGUAGCGGUGGAAUGCGCAGAUAUCGGGAAGAACACCGACAGCGAAGGCAGUCUACUGGGCCUUAACUGACGCUGAGGCGCGAAAGCUGGGGGAGCAAACAGGAUUAGAUACCCUGGUAGUCCCAGCCGUAAACGAUGAGCACUAGGUGUGGGGAAGAUUACUUUUCCGUGCCGACGCUAACGCAUUAAGUGCUCCGCCUGGGGAGUACGGUCGCAAGACUAAAACUCAAAGGAAUUGACGGGGGCCCGCACAAGCAGCGGAGCAUGUGGCUUAAUUCGAAGCAACGCGAAGAACCUUACCAGGGCUUGACAUAUAGGUGAAGCUGUGGAAACACGGUGGCCGAAAGGAGCCUAUACAGGUGGUGCAUGGCUGUCGUCAGCUCGUGUCGUGAGAUGUUGGGUUAAGUCCCGCAACGAGCGCAACCCCCGUCGCAUGUUACCAGCAUUUAGUUGGGGACUCAUGCGAGACUGCCGGCGUUAAGCCGGAGGAAGGUGGGGACGACGUCAAGUCAUCAUGCCCCUUACGUCCUGGGCUGCACACGUGCUACAAUGGUCGGUACAAUGAGCUGCCACCUCGCGAGAGGGAGCGAAUCUCUUAAAGCCGGCCCCAGUUCGGACUGCAGGCUGCAACUCGCCUGCACGAAGUCGGAGUUGCUAGUAAUCGCGGAUCAGCACGCCGCGGUGAAUGCGUUCCCGGGCCUUGUACACACCGCCCGUCACACCACCCGAGUCGUCUGCACCCGAAGUCGCCGGCCCAACUUUUAGAGGGAGGCGCCGAAGGUGUGGAGGGUGAGGGGGGUGAAGUCGUAACAAGGUAGCCGUACCGGAAGGUGCGGCUGGAUCACCUCCUU
rnacentral:rRNA from 1 species